GAUAAUCCACGCGUUACUAUGUAAUAAUCUGUUUCUCUAAUGAUUAAAAGAUAAAUUUCCUUUUUUCUAAACCAAAAUCUCCUUCGAGUGCCUUCCACUUUCCACGAAGCUGUCAAUUUCAUUAACACCUGUUAGAACAUUUUGAUCAUUUCAGGGAGCUGAGAAAGGUUAUGACCCUUUGACUCAGCCAAUCAUCUUCUGAGAUCACCGGCAACC
rnacentral:lncRNA from 1 species